GGAGAAAUACCCAAGCGGCUGAAGGGGGCAGUUUCGAAAACUGCUAGAGGAUGCAAGUCCUGCAAGGGUUCAAAUCCCUUUUUCUCCGCCA
rnacentral:tRNA from 1 species